rnacentral:rRNA from 1 species
GACGAACGCUGGCGGCGUGCUUAACACAUGCAAGUCGAACGGAAAGGCCCUGCUUGCAGGGUACUCGAGUGGCGAACGGGUGAGUAACACGUGGGUGAUCUGCCCUGCACUUCGGGAUAAGCCUGGGAAACUGGGUCUAAUACCGGAUAGGAGCCAUUUUUAGUGUGAUGGUUGGAAAGUUUUUUCGGUGUAGGAUGAGCUCGCGGCCUAUCAGCUUGUUGGUGGGGUAAUGGCCUACCAAGGCGGCGACGGGUAGCCGGCCUGAGAGGGUGGACGGCCACAUUGGGACUGAGAUACGGCCCAGACGCCGACGGGGGGCAGCAGUGGGGAAUAUUGCACAAUGGGCGCAAGCCUGAUGCAGCGACGCCGCGGGGGGGAGGACGGCCUUCGGGUUGUAAACUCCUUUCGCUAGGGACGAAGCUUUUUGUGACGGUACCUAGAUAAGAAGCACCGGCUAACUACGUG